ACACACGCGCGCCGCUCUCUCGCGCCGUGUCUAUUGUGAAGCUUUGUGCCGAGGAAGGUCCGCGCUUUCUCCUUCCCUUCUUUCGUCCUUCUUCUCCUCAGCUCCGUCUCAGCGCUCCCCCCCCCAACAAAAAAUCCGGACUUUCGCAGACAACCGUUCGCCAGGGGUGGGGGGUGGGCUCCCUCGCGGGGCGCGCGAUCGAACUUCCAAGCCCAACGGACUCGCUGGGCGCGAGCUUCUUCCCCCCCCCCCACCCCCCGACGCAGAAAGGGAAAGGAGCCGACGGGGCGGCGGGGGCUGUGAGAAGAUGUAAAAAAAAAGGGGUGGUGGUGGUGGUGGUGGUUAACGGCGAGACGUGGUCAAGGAGCCGGGAUUCCCUCAGCAAGAAGACGCGGUACGUGUUGGCACCUACACGCAGUUGUGAACAAGUCUGAAUCAAGCUUUAGGCUGGUUCACACAUCACAUGAAACAGGAAAUGUACAAUUUCUAUUGGCUUCAGAUCAGGUUUAAAUGGCAUAUUGAAGACUCGACUCUAAAAUAGGCAAGAUUGAUAGCUGCUUGAUAUUUCAGAAUGCCUCUGGUAAAAAGAAACAUAGACCCUAGAUAUCUUUGCCAUA